rnacentral:rRNA from 1 species
AUUGAACGCUGGCGGCAGGCCUAACACAUGCAAGUCGAACGAGUGGCGGACGGGUGAGUAAUGUCUGGGAAACUGGCCGAUGGAGGGGGAUAACUACGGGAAACGGUAGCAAAUACCGCAUACCAUCGGAUGUGCCCAAAUGGGAUUAGCUAGUUGGUGGGGUAACGGCUCACCAAGGCGACGAUCCCUAGCUGGUCUGAGAGGAUGACCAGCCACACUGGAACUGAGACACGGUCCAGACUCCUACGGGAGGCAGCAGUGGGGAAUAUUGCGCAAUGGGGGCAAGCCUGAUACAGCCAUGCCGCGUGAAUGAAGAAGGCCUUCGGGUUGUAAAGUACUUUCAGCGGGGAGGCGUUACCCGCAGAAGAAGCACCGGCUAACUCCGUGCCAGCAGCCGCGGUAAUUC